CCAACUUCUUUCAGGUAUCCUUUGAGGUGGAGAGGCUAUCCCUUGAGCCAGCUGCAGACAAAAUGGAGGGGUCUCCCUGGGGUUUAAAAAGACUUUCUCUUGUAGGUGGACACUCCUCCCUCCCCCUUCAUACAUUCAUAGAAUAUCAGGGUUGGAAAGGACCUCAGGAG